ACACCAGGAAAAUAAACAAUGAUAAAAUGAUGUUUAAGUUGCGAGUGAUAAAGUAAGUCAUCAAUCAAUUAAUGAAAAUGAAAGAGACAGGUCUUGUGAAAUAUUGGAACAAAAUUUAUGAAGUCUGACUAGAGGGAUUCCAUCUAUUCUAAAAACCCAUACGUACAUUAUGAUGCAAAUGGAAGAAAACAUUAAAAAGCAGUGGAUACGGCCACCGGGAAAUCAGUAGGAAUGGAUCUACCCUAGGCACAGAUGUACCAAUACAGUUCUAACAAUGAAAAUAAAGAUGAAAAGAUACAUUGAGAAUUCAUUUUCAGUAAAAAGCAGAACUGUGACACAGGAGCAUCACCUGUGAAAGGUUACAAAUGAUACAAAUGACACCAAUAAAAGAUAUAUGAGCAACUGU